AACGAACGCUGGCGGCAUGCCUAACACAUUCAAGUCGAACGAAGGCUUCGGCCUUAGUGGCGCACGGGUGCGUAACGCGUGGGAAUCUGCCCUUUGGUUCGGAAUAACAGCUGGAAACGGCUGCUAAUACCGGAUGAUUACGAAAAUCCAAAGAUUUAUCGCCAGAGGAUGAGCCCGCGUUGGAUUAGGUAGUUGGUGGGGUAAAGGCCUACCAAGCCGACGAUCCAUAGCUGGUCUGAGAGGAUGAUCAGCCACACUGGGACUGAGACACGGCCCAGACUCCUACGGGAGGCAGCAGUGGGGAAUAUUGGACAAUGGGCGCAAGCCUGAUCCAGCAAUGCCGCGUGAGUGAUGAAGGCCCUGGGGUUGUAAAGCUCUUUUACCCGGGAAGAUAAUGACUGUACCGGGAGAAUAAGCCCCGGCUAACUCCGUG
rnacentral:rRNA from 1 species